rnacentral:rRNA from 1 species
GAUGAACGCUGGCGGCGUGCCUAUCCCUGCCAGUCGAGCGAACGGACGAGAAGCUUGCUUCUCUGAUGUUAGCGGCGGACGGGUGAGUAACACGUGGAUAACCUACCUAUAAGACUGGGAUAACUUCGGGAAACCGUAGCUAAUACCGGAUAAUAUUUUGAACCGCAUGGUUCAAAAGUGAAAGACGGUCUUGCUGUCACUUAUAGAUGGAUCCGCGCUGCAUUAGCUAGUUGGUAAGGUAACGGCUUACCAAGGCAACGAUGCAUAGCCGACCUGAGAGGGUGAGCGGCCACACUGGAACGGGGACAGGGUCCAGACUCCUACGGGAGGCAGCAGUAGGGAAUCUUCCGCAAGGGGGGAAAGCCUAAAGGGGCAACGCGGGGGGAGGAAAGAAGGUUUUCGGAUCGUAAAACUCUUUUAUUGGGAAAAAAAAAAUGGGAAGGAAACUGGAAACAUUUUAAGGGUAACAAAUAAAAAAACCACGGUUAACUACGU